rnacentral:rRNA from 1 species
UGGGGAAUAUUGCACAAUGGGCGCAAGCCUGAUGCAGCCAUGCCGCGUGUAUGAAGAAGGCCUUCGGGUUGUAAAGCACUUUCAGCGAGGAGGAAGGUGGUGAACUUAAUACGUUCAUCAAUUGACGUUACUCGCAGAAGAAGCACCGGCUAACUCCGUGCCAGCAGCCGCGGUAAUACGGAGGGUGCAAGCGUUAAUCGGAAUUACUGGGCGUAAAGCGCACGCAGGCGGUUUGUUAAGUCAGAUGUGAAAUCCCCGGGCUCAACCUGGGAACUGCAUUUGAAACUGGCAAGCUAGAGUCUCGUAGAGGGGGGUAGAAUUCCAGGUGUAGCGGUGAAAUGCGUAGAGAUCUGGAGGAAUACCGGUGGCGAAGGCGGCCCCCUGGACGAAGACUGACGCUCAGGUGCGAAAAGCGUGGGGAGCAAAACAGGAUUAGAUACCCUGGUAGUCCACGCUGUAAAACGAUGUCGAUUUUGGAGGUUGUGCCCUUGAGGCGUGGCUUCCGGAGCUAACGCGUUAAAUCGACCGCCUGGGGAGUACGGCCGCAAGGUU